rnacentral:rRNA from 1 species
GAAGUAAAAGUCGUAACAAGGUUUCCGUAGGUGAACCUGCGGAAGGAUCAUUAACGAAUAUAAUUCGAGGGGUUGUCGCUGGCCUCGCUCGCGCGAGGCAUGUGCACGCUUCUCGUUUUUCUCUCAACUCACCUGUGCACCUAAUGUAGGAUGCCUCUCCUCCGGGAGGGGGGACCUAUGUCUUCGUAACAUCUUCGUGUAGAAAGUCUUUGAAUGUUUACUAUCAUCGAGUCGCGACUUCUAGGAGACGCGAUUCUUUGAGAUAAAAGUUAUUACAACUUUCAGCAACGGAUCUCUUGGCUCUCGCAUCGAUGAAGAACGCAGCGAAAAGCGAUAUGUAAUGUGAAUUGCAGAUCUACAGUGAAUCAUCGAAUCUUUGAACGCACCUUGCGCUCCUCGGUGUUCCGAGGAGCAUGCCUGUUUGAGUGUCAGUAAAUUCUCAACCCCUCUCGAUUAGCUUUGAGAGGGYGCUUGGAUAGUGGAGGUUGCCGGAGACUYGGAUUCGUCCGAGACUCGGGCUCUUCUGAAAUGCAUCGGCUUGCGGUCGACUUUCGACUAUGYGCGACAAGGCUUUCGGCGUGAUAAUGAUCGCCGUUCGCUGAAGCGCAUGACUGAAYGUCCCGUGCCUCUAAUAYGUCGACCGCUUAUUAUCUCUCCGGAGAGAACAGGGUCUUCCUUAUUGACUUUUGACCUCAAAUCAGGUAGGACUACCCGCUGAACUUAAGCAUAUCAAUAAGCGGAGGAAAAGAAACUAACAAGGAUUCCCCUAGUAACUGCGAGUGAAGAGGAAAAGCUCAAAUUUUGAAUCUGGCGGUCUUUAGGCCGUC